CCUACGGGAGGCAGCAGUGAGGAAUAUUGGUCAAUGGACGGAAGUCUGAACCAGCCAUGCCGCGUGAGGGAAUAAGGCCCUACGGGUCGUAAACCUCUUUUGCCGGGGAGCAAGGGCCGGGACGAGUCCCGGUCCGGAGAGUACCCGGAGAAAAAGCAUCGGCUAACUCCGUGCCAGCAGCCGCGGUAAUACGGAGGAUGCGAGCGUUAUCCGGAUUUAUUGGGUUUAGAGGGUGCGUAGGCGGGCUUUUAAGUCAGCGGUAAAAAUUCGGGGCUCAACCCCGUCCGGCCGUUGAAACUGGGGGCCUUGAGUGGGCGAGAAGAAGGCGGAAUGCGUGGUGUAGCGGUGAAAUGCAUAGAUAUCACGCAGAACCCCGAUUGCGAAGGCAGCCUUCCGGCGCCCUACUGACGCUGAGGCACGAAAGUGCGGGGAUCGAACAGGAUUAGAUACCCCAGUAGUC
rnacentral:rRNA from 1 species